rnacentral:rRNA from 1 species
AAGCACUUUAUACUGUGAAACUGCGAAUGGCUCAUUAAAUCAGUUAUCGUUUAUUUGAUAGUACCUUACUACAUGGAUACCUGUGGUAAUUCUAGAGCUAAUACAUGCUAAAAACCUCGACUUCGGAAGGGGUGUAUUUAUUAGAUAAAAAACCAAUGCCCUUCGGGGCUCCUUGGUGAUUCAUAAUAACUUAACGAAUCGCAUGGCCUUGCGCCGGCGAUGGUUCAUUCAAAUUUCUGCCCUAUCAACUUUCGAUGGUAGGAUAGUGGCCUACCAUGGUGGCAACGGGUAACGGGGAAUUAGGGUUCGAUUCCGGAGAGGGAGCCUGAGAAACGGCUACCACAUCCAAGGAAGGCAGCAGGCGCGCAAAUUACCCAAUCCCGACACGGGGAGGUAGUGACAAUAAAUACUGAUACGGGGCUCUUUUGGGUCUCGUAAUUGGAAUGAGUACAAUCUAAAUCCCUUAACGAGGAACAAUUGGAGGGCAAGUCUGGUGCCAGCAGCCGCGGUAAUUCCAGCUCCAAUAGCGUAUAUUAAAGUUGUUGCAGUUAAAAAGCUCGUAGUUGAACCUUGGGUCUGGCUGGCCGGUCCGCCUCACCGCGAGUACUGGUCCGGCUGGACCUUUCCUUCUGGGGAACCUCAUGGCCUUCACUGGCUGUGGGGGGAACCAGGACUUUUACUGUGAAAAAAUUAGAGUGUUCAAAGCAGGCCUUUGCUCGAAUACAUUAGCAUGGAAUAAUAGAAUAGGACGUGCGGUUCUAUUUUGUUGGUUUCUAGGACCGCCGUAAUGAUUAAUAGGGAUAGUCGGGGGCGUCAGUAUUCAGCUGUCAGAGGUGAAAUUCUUGGAUUUGCUGAAGACUAACUACUGCGAAAGCAUUCGCCAAGGAUGUUUUCAUUAAUCAGGGAACGAAAGUUAGGGGAUCGAAGACGAUCAGAUACCGUCGUAGUCUUAACCAUAAACUAUGCCGACUAGGGAUCGGGCGGUGUUUCUAUGAUGACCCGCUCGGCACCUUACGAGAAAUCAAAGUUUUUGGGUUCUGGGGGGAGUAUGGUCGCAAGGCUGAAACUUAAAGAAAUUGACGGAAGGGCACCACAAGGCGUGGAGCCUGCGGCUUAAUUUGACUCACACGGGAAACUCACCAGGUCCAGACAAAUAAGGAUGAC